rnacentral:SRP_RNA from 1 species
GGCAGCAUGGUACACACAUGUAGUCCCAUCCACUCUGGAGCCUGAGGCAGCAGGAUUGCUUGAGUCCAGGAAUUCUGGGCUGUAGUGCGUUAUGAUGAUCAGGCGUCCGCACUAAGUUUAGUAAAAAUAUAGUGUCCCCCCUGGGAGCAUGGGACCACCAGGUUGCCUGGGGAGGCACGAACCAGCCCAGGUCAGAAGCAGAAAAGGUCAAAACUUCCAUGGUUAUCAUUAAUGGGAUUAAGCCUGGGAAUAGCCACUGCACUCCAGCCUGGCCAACACAGCUGAGACCCUGCCUCU